CAUUGAACAAUGGAUUGACUGGAUCAACUGAUGAAACAUGGACAUCAUUCAUCUGCUCCUGCUCCUACUGUCAUGCAUAAUUCAAGCAGUCCGAGGUCAGGUGACGCUGACACCUGAAACACUAACGGUCCUGAAAGGAAAAGAGGCCCGGUUUACCUGCAGGCCCUCCCUCCCCGAGUGGACCGUUAUGGUGUGGCUGAUGAACGGCAAAUCGGUUCUCACCAUCUCCAAUAAGACGGGUGCCCUGAACACUGUCCACCCAAAUGUGACGGCCGAGCAAAGCGGAGACGGCUGGGUGUUUGUCAUCAACAGGACGGAGAGGCACAACGAGGGCUCAGUGGUCUGUGAUCUCCAGGGUAUUACUACGAAAACAGCAAGCCUGUUUGUACAAGAGACGGGCAGCGUGAAAGUCGUUUGGGACAACAGGUUGGCUUUAAAGGAUUCCUGGGUGCAGUUUGAAUGCCUAACAGCAGGAUGGUACCCUGCGCCCACUGUGCAAUGGCAGGUGAAAGAAAAAGAGGGGAAAGAGACAAAACACAUCAGCAGCAGUGAAACGACCAAACUCAACAUCAUGGCAACGAAGAGCUCAGAUGUGUCUUGUCUGGCGUCCGUGUCUGCCCUGCUCACGCCACUGAAGAGCUGCGCCCGUCUGACUGUGGUUGUAGAGGUGGGGCGGGAGAAGGAGGAAGAUGUCUGCAGCGAGGUGCCCCUGGCAAUAAUGUCCUCCCUCUCUGCUCUUCUGCUGCUCCUCCUGCUCUGUAUCUGCACCGUCCUCUGGCUCAGACGAAGGAGACAAGCACGAGCCGGCACACAGGAGGUAGUAAGGUCCGACCAAUCGGUGAGCGGGAGGAGUUCGGUUGCUGAGGCGACAGCCGGGAAGGUCAACCUGGGAUAUUCUAGUGACGGCCCCACAGAUGCAGUUCACAAUGAGCUAAUCAUGGAAACCUUUAGGCAGGAGGACUUUGUCAGCUUUCACAAGGUCCCUGAUGUCAUAUCCCCCAGCAACCUGUCUCCACACGGGGACGGACCAGCCCAGGUUUGUCUAAAAGAGCAAAACUCCACCAAUACUAGGAGAAUGACAACAGUUUGAAUCAUGAUAUUAAAUAUAAAAAUGUGGCGCCAAAUACAGUACAGUAUUUACAGGUGCCCCCCUCACUAGUGUUUAUAUUAUAUGAUGUUGCACAUUUUUGUAAAGUUGUAAGCUAUUUUUAUGUGAUCUAAAACUAUUCUGAAAAAUAUAUUGUGACGCCUCUGACUUUAAUGUGCUUUAAUGUAUGCGUGAAAAACUGUUUUAAAAACAUACUCUAACUUUCCCGAAAAUGUGUGUGAUCCUUUAUGUUCGGCUUACAUGUUUUAGAUGACUAUAGUAAUUUAGAUAUAAACUACAGCUCCUUCUUAUUUUUGCAGCUUUGACCAUGAUUACAAUAUUACCCUCAAGAUAAAAGUUGCAAUAAACCACAACAAACAUUUAAUGUAUUAAGUGCCUCUUUUUCUGUUUUAAAUGCGGAAGCAUCUCAAACUCGAUCGAUGUCGCGGUCAUGGAGCGGUGAUGGUUUUAAGAUACAAUAUAAAUGGGAAAGGGUGAGAUGUAAAUUAAGGCAAUGUGACUGGUGCUGCAAUAAGAACGAGGUGGUGGUGAGGCGCUCUGCAUUAAUGCAUGAAAUAACAGAUUUAUCUCUGUGUGAAGUGGAUGACGCGACAUUUGCAUUUAAUAAUAGUAAAGAAUGGGGGUUGUGGGGGGGGUAGAAUGGUGGAGAUGGAUGUAUAUGGGUCUGCCAGACACUCAAUAGUUUCAGCAGCAUUGCUGUUAUUAAAGCAGUUGGUGUGAAUUAAAAAGGUGACAUGCCUAUUGCUGGUGUCUGGGAUUUUUUUUUUUUACCAAACUGCCGCAGUAAUACCCAUGCGUUUCACAUUUCAGACUGAGCCAGUCCCAUGUGAGUGCAUUAAAUUAUUCCCAACGUAGGGUUAUUAUCAUUGUUUAAUAAUGUCACAAUAUUUAACAAAAACUUUCCUUUUUUCUGUAGGAUGUGGUGUCUUUUUUAGGAUUUCUGUGUGAUUCUUCACCUCCUUCAACAACCGCAAAAUAAAUAGAAAAUCAUACAAUUGGCAGCUUAUCCUUUGUUGGAAGGGAAACACUCUUUCACUUCACUGAAAGCCAAUGCACAUUCUGAUNNNNNNNNNNNNNNNNNNNNNNNNNNNNNNNNNNNNNNNNNNNNNNNNNNNNNNNNNNNNNNNNNNNNNNNNNNNNNNNNNNNNNNNNNNNNNNNNNNNNCCAGAGGCUGACAAAACACAAGCGGGCCUUCUGCUGAAGAAUAAAAACAAGCCAACACAGAAGUAAAAAAAAAGAAUUACUACUACAGUGAUGGAAAGUAGCCUUGAUUUAGAAAACUCGAUGUAAUCCAAAACCAGACCAAAUCAAAACCAAGGCACAAAAAGAAAAAUAUCAAACAAAUCAGCAGGUUGUGGCCUCUUCUAAAAACCAUAAGACAGUUGAGCAUGAUGCUACGUGACACAACACUGUGAGGCGUAUGGGCAGUUAUCAAUGCAGAAGCAACCAGUGGAUUUCUGUCAAACAAAGAGAAAGGUGGACACAGUGUUGACUUUUAAAAGAAAAAAGGUCCCGGCCUAUAUAUCUAUAUUAAAAGCUAAAAAUGGAUCUAGUGUGCUGAAGAAAUAUAUUAUUCUGAGCAACUAUUAGACUCCUCAUGGCAACAAAUUCAAGAAUAUAAUAUAAGAAUUUACAAAGACUAGUGAAAACCAAUUCAACACCCACGUUCUAUUGCAACGAAAGCAAUCACUAUCAGCCAAUCUUUUUUUUCGUUCUAAAUUUAGGUGGUGCGGCUUGUAUUCAAGUGCGCUCUAUAGUUAGGAAAUGAUGGUAAAAGUGCUCUGGGGUGGGAGAGAGGGAAGAUGCAUUUCAUCUACAUAUGACCCGCACUGGCCUGGCUGCAGGGCACACCAACAACCACCAGGAGGAACUCUGUUGUCCUACUGCAGCCAUGACUAAAUGACUCUAUUAUAAUACAUAUUAAUAAUACAAUGUAUUUCACACAACCACGACCACCACAACUAAUAUAACUGCCAAAACUCCUUCUACCUCAUCAUCAAGCACCACCUUCUCUAAAUAACCCCAAAGUCACUGUCUACCACAGCUACGCCUCCACAUGACUCUUUAGUCAAAGCAGCACGCCUGAAGCCUUCGCAGGAGAGGAGAGGGCUGGAGUAGCUCACAUCCAACACUGCAAAACAAAUGUGGAAUUGAAAAAAUACAGCAAUUGCCAUUCUUAUUCCGGACUGAACACACGGCCACUAACACUAC
ensembl:lncRNA